rnacentral:lncRNA from 1 species
CAAAAACCUUUUAUCUCUGUAACUCAUCACCACGCAUGCUCAUUUUUAGUUUUUUCGUCCCUGAUUCACAGAGCAUGCUACAAUGAUCUUUCAAUUUUUUAGAGACUACCUUAAAAAGAGCCCCGUAGAGAGCUAUGUUUUGUUCAGUUUUAUCCUCUCUGUUGUUGAGAAAGUGGUGGAACUGAACUUUGUUUGCCCUUGCAUGUACAAAAGAAACAUUCUUUCAUGCUGUACUUAUGUUCUUGUGCCUGGUUUUACAAUCUUUGCCCUAACAUAUGUUGUCCUGGAGCUGGACAACAAGAGUAAACGGAUUAUUUACUUUUUUAUUUUAUUUAGUAUUUGGAUGGCCCUCUUCCUGCUUGAUGGCAGAUAUGUAGCCUGUGCAGCUUCAAACUGGGAAGGGAUUUACACUCAUGAUUCUAUGCCUUGGUGUAAGCCAGUGGGAAAUGGAUCUGAAAUUGCAACAGAACGUCGUCUUGAAACACAGGAGUUCUUUUUUUGGUCUGAGGUAUUUGGACUCGUCCUAAUUUUAGAAAUUAUUCUUGGGGUAACAUGGCUGCACUGCAACUGUGGUGAAGGCCCUAAAGGCAAAGGAAGCACAGGAAACUGCACUUUUGCAAUACGAACUUAAAAAUGUACCUCUCCACAAACUACUGGAAAUGACAACAAAUGAAACGAAGGUUAAAGAACAGUGUUGAUUCCUUGUUUGGGUAAUUGUUUGAAAAAUGAGCAAAUGCCUCCAAAUCAGAGUAAAACUGUGUAAAUCAAAUGCAAUGGCAAGCUAUAAUAUGGAAUAGAUUCUGGUUGAAGUGAUAUACAUAUUAGAGUUGUUUUUAAUGUCUGCAUAUAUAAAUAUUUUACAAUCAUAUUAAUAGGACUGGGUCUGCGUAUAUAUAAAUUUGCUACAUUAUUAAAUUUGGAAAUAUGGAGAUUUUGCUGAAAUUACAUGCUUGCUCCUCAGUGUAAUGUAAUAUUUGUUAUACUAUUUUAAUGCCUUUUGUGCCCACUGUUAUCUCAUCACUUCCCAUCACAGGCUCUUCACAAUAUCUGUACAUGCAUACUGAAUGUAUUUUGUCUGUUUUUACUAAUUUUACUAAUUUCUGUUAGAAGGUUUUUUUUUUCUGUAAAGCUCUUGGAUAAUUGAUAUGUAACAGCUUGUUCUUAUUUCUAUUUUAAUCAAAAUAAUAUUGUCUUUAUCUUACAGUCUUUGAUUUUAACAUGUUCUUAAUGAAUACAAUUACUUGUAAAUGUCAUUGACUGAAUCAUUUUUUGUUAAUAAAAGCCUGCCUUUGUCAUCA